rnacentral:rRNA from 1 species
UACGUAGGGUGCGAGCGUUAAUCGGAAUUACUGGGCGUAAAGCGUGCGCAGGCGGUUCUGCAAGUCAGAUGUGAAAUCCCCGGGCUUAACCUGGGAACUGCGUUUGAAACUACGGAGCUAGAGUGCGGCAGAGGGGGGUGGAAUUCCACGUGUAGCAGUGAAAUGCGUAGAUAUGCGGAGGAACACCGAUGGCGAAGGCAAUCCCCUGGGCCUGCACUGACGCUCAUGCACGAAAGCGUGGGGAGCGAUCCGG